AGGAAAAGUAAAUGGACUUGAGCUUAACUUCUCACCCUGGAAUUAUUAGUGGGUGAAGAGGGGAAUCAUUAGCAUUCUGGGCAUUUUUAUAUUAAAUGUUUUGUGAAUAUGCCAGAAGAUCUGCCUUCAACUUGUAAUUAGGCAAGAUAGUAACGCUUGAUGGUAACUUCUAUGUUUGUGUAGAAAUAAUACCAGUUAGUUUUGGAAAGCCAUUCAGAUCCAUUCAAAAAUUCCAUAAAGUAUGAUGUAUGCUUUGGAAGAGGGAUAUGAGUGAUACAAUUGUUAUAUAAAUGGAAUAGACAAACCAUUUGAAUGCAUUUUUCAAGGGCAAACAUUUUUUUGAGAUUUUUGAGUUAAGAAGAUUUUUCGGCUUGAGCAGAAGAUGUGUUUGUUUUGCAUUUUUCAGCUCCAGGCAAAUAGCUCCCAUGGCUUUAAAAGGCCCUGAAGUUCAGAUAGUAGUAGGUAGUGUUUUGUUAUUGUUUUAAUUUGAGAGUUGCAGGAAUAAUGGGCAGAGCUGUCAUUUGCCAGUAGGCUACCAUCUGCCUACAUAGAAUUAUUGGACUGUAAGCUAAAACAGACUGUAAAAGACCUACUUGCUAAAGCAUUGCUUAUUCAGUGGUAUUCAGUAGAUAAGAUCUAUUUCCUGAUACAUUGUGCUCAAGUUAUUUGCACAUCUUAAGAAACUUUUAAUAUCUAAAACCAUUGCUGUAAGAUUUAGGUAGAGGAGGUUUCCUUUUGUGUGAUGCAUAAUAAUAGAAAACACUGAUACAGUGUUUACUAUGUGCCAAGCAAGCUAUGAUAACUAAUUCUUAACAACUCUAUGAGGCAGGGUCAUUUAUUAUCCUGUUGUCAUAUGAGGAAAUCUCGCCAGAGAGAAGUUAAUUAACCUGCCCAAGGUCGUAUAGUUAGUAAAGCGGUGAUGUUUGAAUUUUAACCUAGGCAGAUUACUUCAGAGUCAGUGUCUGCCUUACUAUCCUGUUUCCUGAGCAGGAAUUUCCCCUUGUGUCAGGCAACACUAGGUGUUAGGAGUGGAGGUGUGCAGGUGUUGCCUUACAUUCUGUUUUCCUGACGUGGUGUGCUUCCUAAGAGUAAAAACCUGAGCAUAUGUCCAGGCUUGCAAAGUCUCAGGCAAAGCUGGGACUAAGGCUUGUGUUUCCUGCCUUGGGUAGGAUUUUCUUCUAUGCAUGUUGGGUGCUUCUCACUUAACCUAAUAGUAUGCCUUGUCUGUUUUCCCCCCUUCCCCUUUUUGUUUAAAUUGAUUCACAGAACACAAAAAUUUACUAGGUAUGAACAUUUGAAAAAAUAGAGAAAAUGGUACAUCACAUGUAAUAAAGAUAAAUAUUGUUUUGUGAAAUGUCUUUUUCAAUCAUAAAUAUAAGUGUUGUGUGCUAUAUAAAACUAUUUCUUAUUGUGGAUAUUGAAGUUUGAAGCCUGUUGUUCAUCUAUAGAUGCACUGGAUGGGAUUGGAAGUCUUCAGAUUUCAGUAGGGUUUUCUACAAGCUUAUGAAGACAUUGUCCUAUUUAGGCUGUAAACUGUUUUUAUUUCUUGAUGAAAAAUGUUCUUCUAUUUAUAUGAUCCCAGAAAAAAGAUACAACUUUUUUUUUCUACAGUUAAUGUAGCUAGUUAACUAGACUUUUCAGAGUUAUAAUACAUUUAGCUCCAUGAGAACAGAGACGAUCCAUGUCUGUCUGUAUCUCUAGGGCCUGGCAUUUAAUAGAUUCUCAAUAAAUAUGUGUUGGUUGUUAUGACCAACAUUUUGGUGAGUUUACAUUUUUUUCCUCCAGGAACUUAAGAGACACCACCUAUGAUUGAGUGUGUCUGUGAGAUCCUUAGAGGCCUUGCAUCAGAAGGUCAUCUUGACAGUUCUGUGAGAGGACAGGGGAAUUGGACUCUAUCUUACCCGAAGGCUGUGAUUCAACCCUGGGUGGCAGAGGUGGUUUUGGUUCUCUGUGGGACCCUAGAUAGGCUGUGUAUCUUGAUUCUCUUCCAUGUUUUUAAGAGUAGUGUAAUGGGGCUGGGCAUGGUGGCUCACGUCUGUAAUCCCAACACUUUGGGAAGCCGAGGCAGGUAGAUUGCUUGAGCCCAGGAGUUUGAGACCAGCCUGGGCAACAUGGCAAAACCCUGUCUUUACUUAAAAUACAAAUUAGCUGGGCAUGGUGGCACGUGGCUGUAGUUUCAGCUACUCAGGAGGCUGAGUUUGGGGGAAUCACCUGAACUUGGGAAGUUGAGGCUGCAGUAAGCCGAGAUGGUGCCAUGGCAUAAUAGCCUGGGGGAGAACGCUGUCUCAAAAAAAAAAAAAAAAAAAAAAAAAAAAGCAAGGUAAUGGAAAGGACACUGGAGUGAAAAUUCUGGGUCUUAGUCCCAGUUGUGGAAGUGAAGCACUCAGUAAGUGUUGACAAAGAAUUACCUUUCAUUGCACAUUAGGAGCUAGUAAAUGAUUCGUGUGUCUUACUAACUUUUGUUUAAUCCUCAAUUCCUCUAUGAGGUUCAUUACUAUUAUGUUCUCCAUUGUAUACAUGAGAAAACUGGAGGUGCAGAGAGUAUGUUAAAUAUGUUAGCUCUCAAUAAUAAUUACUGUGUGUGGGACUGGAGAUACCAAGCCGUGUCCUUAUGGAGGUUAUAAUCUAAUGCAGAAGACCAGCAAUAAGUAAGUAAAUAAAAACUAUUACUUCAAUUCAGGCAGGGAUAAAUGCUUUGAAGAUAAGUAACGCUCAGAGAAAAAUAAUAAUGGGAGAAUGGGGAAUAGUCUGCCAUUUUAGAUGGAAUAAGCAAAGAAAUCCUCUAUUGGCCAGGGUAAAUUCAAAUAGAAACCAGAAUAGAGCAAGGGAAUUUGCUGCAUGAAUAAUCUGUAGGAAGGGGCAGAAGGAUAGCAGUAGCACACGGGCCCUGAGCCAGUAGACCGUGGCUUGUUCUGGCAACAUUAAGAUGGCCAGAGUAGCUUAAGCCAAAUGAGCAAGAGGAGAGUGGUAGUUGAUGGCAUCGAAGAGGGCACAAGCCAGCUCAGAUGUGGCCUUGAAUACACAUCAUUGUAAAGGAGUUUAGAUUGUGUUCUGAUGUCUUCUACAUACACACAGGUCUUUUGCUAGACAGAGACCUCUAAGGUCUUUUCCAGUAUUAAAAUCUUAUGACUUUAAAGUAGUGAUAUCAUUUCAAGCCAUUCAAAUCAGUAAUGUGUUCUAGAGAAGAGUUGAUUUGCACUUCUAGAUACUCUUCAGGGGCAAAGCCAUUUACCCUUGCUAAAUUUUUCAAGGUGGCUGUCAGCUACAGCCGUAGAAGCCUGUAAAAGAUGGCUGGACCUUUCUGCCCCUCUGCUGUCUCAUUUUCCUUACCUGUGCAGUCAGAGCUGUGCUAGGCAUGGACUGUGUCUGCCAGUAUAUGGUAUGUGUUUCAAGAAUGUCAAUCCCUACAAAGAGUCAUUUUAUGUUUUCUGGCACAACUGAUGAUUUUCAUCCUGUAACCUUUUUUUUUCCAGUUUGCUCAAGUACUUAUUAUGCUCCCCCGAUAGAGAGUGUGACAACUUGGGGUAGUAUUAAAGUAUUUGACAACUGUUGGGAGUUGUGGGAACAUGCCCCUUUUUGUUAAUAGAGGCAUAAUUGUAACCAAAGAAAUUUAAUUUCUUCUUUAGCAAACACUAACAUUUCUGUUUCAGAAUGAGUGCUAGAGAAAGAGGAAAUAUGACAGUUACCAUGUAUCAUGAAUACAUUGAGUUCUCUCUGUAAUAACUCAAAACUGAUCUAUAGCUAAAAUUAAAACCAUAUAAGCGUAUCGUAAAUCUUGACUAUUUCUGUGUUCGCUUCUAAUUGUUUGGAAUAAGGCUUCAAAUGCUUUCCAGAAUGAUGUGAGUUACAAAUAAAUAGAAAAAGAGUUAUCCUGUCUUCCAUUUAUUUUAUUUGUACAUAUCCAUUUCAAGAAAAAAAAAAGACUUAAAAAAUACAAUUCUAUCCCAGAAAUGGAUCCUUAUCUGCACAACCAUUGAAGAAAAAAAAAAAAAAAUUCAUGCAAACUGAAACUAUGCUUUUUUGUAGUGACUGAGUGGAAGAUGCAGUUAUUCCAGUAGAAUAUAUAAGAAGCUCUGAUUUUACAACUGAUUGAUAGCACAAAAGAGAACCCAAACUUCACUAGUUUAAUGCAAGGAAACACAAUUUUGCAUAUGGGUAUGACAAGGUUUGCAAACUCCUGGAAAGGGCCCAUAUGAAACAAACACAUUGAACACACCACUUACUGACAUGCCCCUCCCACCCACAUCAGGUUUGUUAUGGUAUUUUUUUACUUGCUUGGCAACAAAUACAUGGGUGACCAUUUAAAAUCAAAAUUAUAAUUUGAUAUGUGCCCAAUGAAUGAAAUAGCAAAUAUCUCAUGCUUUUAAGUUACUUUUGGUCAUUUAUAUUAAUUUAUAAUUGCUGAAAUGCAUCACCAUGUAGAGAAGAGACUAGGUUACACAAUUUAUCAGAUUUGUUCUCUUAGCCAUAAUGACAGUAUUCCAAGUUUCUAAAAAAUAAUAAUAGAGAAUGUUACUGAUGACUAACCUGGGUUUUACCAUCUUGGAAAAGCUAUACAUCUUCAUAUUUUAAAAUUUCUGUCAAGUUUUACUUGCUUGAUGCCUCUAUAUCAUGUACAAGGCAUUGUGUAAUAACCCACCUUAUGGCUCUGAGCCACCAGUGGAUGAGAGUUGACAAAACAGCCAGACACCAAAGGAAGAUGCCCAGGGCUGUCCCCUAUGCCAGGGGCCUCCAUUGGGGAACAGUAUGUAAAUCUUGGGGAGAGGAAGGUGUGACUGGGAGUUAGGGAUGCUUAAUGAGAGGAGAACCAGAUGAUCAGGGUCUAGCAAGGCCUGUGAUCACAACGGACACAGACUGGCACUGCACCACUGUUCAUGUACUGACUAGCUCUGAGUGUGGCCUGCAUGAUACAAAGUGUGCGUGCUGUGAGUGCAGACAGUUGUCUGAAGUGUGGAGAAUAGGUUGAUAGUCCCAAAUACACCAUGCAUGAUUUCCAG
rnacentral:lncRNA from 1 species